rnacentral:rRNA from 1 species
GAUGAACGCUGGCGGCGUGCCUAAUACAUGCAAGUCGAGCGAACAGACGAGGAGCUUGCUCCUCUGACGUUAGCGGCGGACGGGUGAGUAACACGUGGAUAACCUACCUAUAAGACUGGGAUAACUUCGGGAAACCGGAGCUAAUACCGGAUAAUAUAUUGAACCGCAUGGUUCAAUAGUGAAAGACGGUUUUGCUGUCACUUAUAGAUGGAUCCGCGCCGCAUUAGCUAGUUGGUAAGGUAACGGCUUACCAAGGCAACGAUGCGUAGCCGACCUGAGAGGGUGAACGGCCACACUGGAACUGAGACACGGUCCAGACUCCUACGGGAGGCAGCAGUAGGGAAUCUUCCGCAAUGGGCGAAAGCCUGACGGAGCAACGACGCGUGAGUGAUGAAGGUCUUCGGAUCGUAAAACUCUGUUAUUAGGGAAGAACAAAUGUGUAAGUAACUAUGCACGUCUUGACGGUACCUAAUCAGAAAGCCACGGCUAACUACGUG